rnacentral:rRNA from 1 species
AGUGAACGCUGGCGGUAGGCCUAACACAUGCAAGUCGAACGGCAGCACAGUAAGAGCUUGCUCUUACGGGUGGCGAGUGGCGGACGGGUGAGGAAUACAUCGGAAUCUACUUUUUCGUGGGGGAUAACGUAGGGAAACUUACGCUAAUACCGCAUACGACCUACGGGUGAAAGCAGGGGAUCUUCGGACCUUGCGCGAUUGAAUGAGCCGAUGUCGGAUUAGCUAGUUGGCGGGGUAAAGGCCCACCAAGGCGACGAUCCGUAGCUGGUCUGAGAGGAUGAGCAGCCACACUGGAACUAGGACACGGUCCAGACUCCUACGGGAGGCAGCAGUGGGGAAUAUUGGACAAUGGGCGCAAGCCUGAUCCAGCCAUACCGCGUGGGUGAAGAAGGCCUUCUGGUUGUAAAGCCCUUUUGUUGGGAAAGAAAAGCAGCAGGUUAAUACCCCGCUGUUCUGACGGUACCCAAAGAAUAAGCACCGGCUAACUUCGUG